CGCUAUCAUCCUACGGGAGGCAGCAGUGGGGAAUAUUGCACAAUGGGCGCAAGCCUGAUGCAGCCAUGCCGCGUGUAUGAAGAAGGCCUUCGGGUUGUAAAGUACUUUCAGCAGUGAGGAAGGUGGAGUCGUUAAUAGCGGCCUCAUUUGACGUUAGCUGCAGAAGAAGCACCGGCUAACUCCGUGCCAGCAGCCGCGGUAAUACGGAGGGUGCGAGCGUUAAUCGGAAUUACUGGGCGUAAAGCGCAUGCAGGUGGUUUGUUAAGUCAGAUGUGAAAGCCCGGGGCUCAACCUCGGAAUUGCAUUUGAAACUGGCAGACUAGAGUACUGUAGAGGGGGUAGAAUUUCAGGUGUAGCGGUGAAAUGCGUAGAGAUCUGAAGGAAUACCGGUGGCGAAGGCGGCCCCCUGGACAGAUACUGACACUCAGAUGCGAAAGCGUGGGGAGCAAACAGGAUUAGAUACCCUGGUAG
rnacentral:rRNA from 1 species